AUCGCUUCUCAGCCUUUUGGCUAAGAUCAAGUGUA
rnacentral:snRNA from 1 species